AAUGUAGUUUCUUUCUUUUAUUUUUAUUUCCGUUUUUGUUGUUCUCAACCCUAAACCACUGCACGUCGCCACUACCAAAACCAGAACUCACUCACCAAAAUAACACCGAGCCGCUCCACCAUCGAGCUCACCCCACAAAAUAACACCGACCACCACCACCAAAACCCCAGAUCUGACCCAAAUCGGAAAAGCAUUCAACCCAAACCUCCACCAUUGUCGUCGUCGACUAACCACCAACAACAACAAAUUCAUCAACAAACAACUCCAGAUCUGAAAAAAUCUCUAGAACCGGUCCUAAAAAAGAACCUCAAAUUCUAUGCAACUCGAAUGAACAAUAAACUAAAAGAAGAUAUAGACCCAAAUAGAUAGAGGCGGAAAUGGGGGAGAAGAGGUAGUGAGUCGGGGAGUGGAGAACCCAGAUCGAUCUAAGGAGUUGGGAGAGGGAGGGGGCAGAGGAGAAGGAGAGGAAGACUUUAGAGAAAGAGAGAGGGAGUGGGUUUGUUUCGGUGGUGGGGAAGAGAAAGAAAAUGGUUUUGGGUGAUGUUCUUGGGGAGAGAAAGAAGGAGUGAGAGGUCAGAGGAAGAGGAAGUUAAAGAGAGCGAGAGAGAAAAUGAUUGAAUAAAAAGAAAAGCUGAAAAUUUAAAAGGAAACUUGUUUGAAAAUUUCCAAAAUUUUUGGCGGAAACUUAAAAUUUUGGCAAAAUUUGGUUUACCGAGAGAAAGAAGGAGUGAGAGGUCAGAGGAAGAGGAAGUUAAAGAGAGCGAGAGAGAGAAUGGUUGAAUAAAAAGAAAAGCUGAAAAUUUAAAAGGAAACUUGUUUGAAAAUUUCCAAAAUUUUUGGCGGAAACUUAAAAUUUUGGCAAAAUUUGGUUUACCUCUAAAGUCAAAAAUUACACUAUUCCAGUAUCAGCCAACACAUAAAUGUUGUCUUAUUAACAAGAAAAAUUUGUCUGUAAAAUCAAAUAGUUUGGAGGGAAUCCACCUAAGUUAAAAGGUUAGGGUUUACCUCCAAAGUCAGAAAUUACUAAAUUUCAGUAUCAGCCAACAUAUAAAUGUUGUCUUAUUAACAUAAUUAAGUAAAAUUUUCACACAAGUUGUCAAUUCAUAAAAAAUUCAAUAUCAGACAACACAUAAAUGUUGUCGGAUUAACAUAAUUAAGUAAAAUUUUCACACAAAUUAUCAAUUCAAUAAAAUUCAAUAUCAGCCAACAUAUAAAUGUUGUCUUAUUAACAUAAUUAAAUAAAAUUUUCACACACGUUGUCAAAUCAAUAAAAUUCAAUAUCAGACAACAUAUAAAUGUUGUUGGAUUAACAUAAGUAAAAUUUUCACACAAGUAUUGGUCAAUUUGGAAAUCCCCCUAAAAGUUGAGAAAAUAUAACCUUCAUAGCUAGACAACCUAUAAGUGUUGUCCGAAUGUAACUUUCAUUUUGACAAUUAAGACUAAAACAGACCUCUUUCUUCACCAACAUAUAUGUAUUGUCCCAAAAACAUAAAUUUUUUCAAAGAAAAUUAGUAUUGUCUAAGUGCAUAUUCCACCAACAUAGAAAAAAAAUGUGUCGCCCUGAAACCCCGAACCAUACUUAAUUUUGUUUGUGUCGUCUGAUGGGUGUUGCCUGAUGCAGGAAAUGCCGGGAGAUUGAAAAUGAGAUUGAUGAGGGAGAUUAAUGUAUUGUGGCAUAUAAUAUUCAUAUUUUCUUAUGACAAAUAUUUUUUAAAUGUAAUUUAGAAGUUUGUUAUGGAAUAGAAUUGACAAAAGACAAUAGAGUUAAGAGGGUAGCAUCUUAUUAUUUACUAUGUAUUAUAGGGCCAAGUGUCGCCUUACUGUUCACUGUCAAUAGUAGACAGACGCUUUUACCCUUCAAUAUUUCUUUUGUUUUACAUGCAUGUUGCACUCAGGUGUUGCAUGGCGUCGUCCUCUUCCUCCACGUAUAUGUUGCGUGUCUUCAGCUUAUGAAUGCAGAAUAACAUCACGGUUAUUUCUAGUGGUUUUUCACUUCGUCUUCUUUACUUCGUUAUGUUCUCUCCAUAGAUAAAGGCUAGCAUAAUUAGAGACAUCCUGAAGAAUUACAAAAUAAUCUCAUAUGUGAUUCUCUACUAAUCGGUGCGGGUUCAAGAAAUUUGUUUGGUUUUUUAAACCAAAUAAAAAAAAUUGUUGUCUUUUCCCAUCUUUAUUUAUCUUUUAAUUAGUCGAUUGCGUUUUUUGUUUUCCUUGAUCUUCAACUAGUUAGAGUUUUUG
rnacentral:lncRNA from 1 species